AGGACGAACGCUGGCGGCGUGCUUAACACAUGCAAGUCAAGGGGGCCCAGCAAUGGGCAACCGGCGAACGGGUGCGUAACACGUGAGCAACCUACCGAAAUGUGGGGGAUAGCCGGCCUAACGGCCGAGUAAUACCGCAUACGCUCUCGAUGAGGCAUUUCAUUGAGAGGAAACCUACGGGACAUUUCGAGGGGCUCGCGGCCUAUCAGCUAGUUGGCGAGGUAACGGCUCACCAAGGCAACGACGGGUAGCU
rnacentral:rRNA from 1 species